UGCUUAGAGUUUCAUUGUUCGGCGUGUGGGCAAGCGUGCACCUAUCCCUUCUCACCGCUCAUUUUCCGUCUUCACACAGGUACAGUGGGCGCAGUGGAAAGCAGCAGGCUCCGCGCUCGGUCGGUGGGCUCUCUGCUCGCAGCACACCGCCACCUCAACUUCUGUUGCUGCUCGGCAGUCAUGGACGCUGCAAUGGACAGCGAGGGCUCCACUCCGGAACACGUGGCAGCUUCGUGCCACGCUAACCCAGCCGUCUCAGCCUCCUUGCCACGCUUGGCGGCGACGGUGGUAGGGCAGUCGGUGCAGGACAGCUACGAGGCAGAGUUAUACAGAUUCAAGAGCACCAAGAGCCGUGCGUUUCUGCAGGAUCGCCAGGCAUACACUACAAACCUUCCGCGACUCUUGCCGGAGGGCAUUCCGUACACUGCCAACUUCGUCUCCUUCGACCACCUGCGCGAGUGCGGGGCGCUGAGCGAGAUGCACCAGAACGAGGUGAGCAUCACCACCGACGAUUUGCGACUUCUCUACGAGGCUCGGUGUCUAGACCAGGGCCUCCCCCCUUCGUGGCAGCGCGAGAUGCGCUUCAUGGAACUCGUCAGCGCGAAAUGCAAAGGCCGAUUUUUUUGCUUGCCGGAGAACGGGUUCGGCGUUUGCUCUGCUGAAGCGCUGGCGGCAGUUCUCUCUCGCAACAGUCACUACAGUGUUCUUGAUCUUUCUGGCAACUGCCUGCGAGACGACGGCGCGCGCUUCAUCGCACAGCUCAUCAAGCGGAACCGUACUCUUGUCCAUAUUGAUGUAGCCUCAAAUGAUAUCGGGCACGUGGGUGGGGUACUCAUAGCUCGAGCCCUUCUCGAGAACAACACGGUCAUCUCGCUGGACAUUGGCGCGCGCGCUGGGGUCAACGGGAACCACAUCGGUACUCCUGGCGCAGAGGCUAUUGGAGAGGUACUGCGGUGUAAUGAGGUACUCGCCAGACUCAACGUCAGCAGCAACGGUCUCGGCGCCGGCGGCGUGGCCUUCAUCGCGUCCGCUCUCGAGCGUAACGGCUCCCUCACGCGCCUCAAUCUCUCGAGCAACAACCUAGGCCUUGAAGGGGCCCGCGUCCUCGCAUCGGCGUUGGAGGCGGCACACGUGACGCACUGGGAGCUUCAACGCAAUCAUCUGGACGAUAAGGGCGGUGCGUGCUUUCUCAACGCGCUAGCAGGGGCGAUUCGGAACGGACAUGACGUUGUGGAGUACCUGGACUUGGACAACAACGCCCUUGGCGAGGGCUGUGCCGACGCUGCUGGCAAGGUGCUGGCUGUUUCCGCCUCCCUAACCACCUUGCGGCUGUGUGGCAACCCUCUUGGCGCUGGGGUGAAGGCGAUCAGCACGGGCCUAAACGAAAAUCAUAGUCUGAACUCCCUUUAUCUUUCCAAGUGCUCCAUUGAUCACAUCGGCGCCGCGGCACUUGGCGCCGUCCUCUGCGUGAACCACACACUUCGCCACCUGGACAUGAGCAACAACCGUGUCAAGGAUGGCGGUGCUGUGGAGUUGGCGAAGGGACUGGCAGUGAACAAAUGCCUCACAACAUGGAACCUGUCGUCCAACCGCAUCGGUCACGCUGGCGGGCUGGAGAUGGCGAAGGCAGUACAGAAAAACCGAACUCUGCGUCACCUCAACCUGCGCCGCAACUUGAUGCUGGAGGCGACGGGUGAGGCUAUCAGCGAUAGCUUUCGUUCUAACAAUACACUUGAGCGACUCGACGUGGCGUACAAUGACUUUUCUUACGCGUGCGCAAUGUCGAUCGAGCGUGCGUUGGAGCGCAACAGGGCAUCAAACAAGACGCUGCUCGUUCCGAAGCUGCAGGCAAACAUUGAUGCCCUGGCACCGAAGGAGAACGAGCUGGAGCGCGCUGAGGAGGAUAUCGAGGUGGAAAAGCGUAUGGCACGCGACCGUGGCGAGGACCUGAUGCGGCGCGGUGAGGAGGCGCGUGUCGUGUCAGAGAAGCUUCGACGCGAGAUUGCGGAUCUGGAGCGCGUGUUCGAGAAAGCCAGCACCGCCAGCGACGCCGCAGAGAACCUAUUCCGACUGACCGAGGACCGCGUCACGAACAAUCUGACAGAGCUGAAGAUGAAGCGGACCAACAUGGACGCCCGCAUCCAGCAGGAGAAGGACCGCACUGAUCGCCUGAACCGCGAGGUAGAGAAAAUCCGGCGUCAAAUCAAGCACCUCGAGGAGGCCGAGAACGAGCGGCUGGCGCCGCUUCUGCGUGACCUGGAUGGGAUGGAGAGAGACCGCACACAGGAAAUGGCCGACGCGAAGUUUGAGGGGGAGAAGCUCGCUGCACUGGAACUUCGACGAAAGGAGCUUCAGAUCGCUGCGGGUAGACGCGCCAACAAGAAGAAGUGAAUGCGAAUGUGCGCAGAUUGUUUCGUCCCCCCCUUCCCCUCCCCGUCCUACUCGCCUUUCUCAUGCCCAACGGUGAAGCCUGUUUCUUUCACACACAUGUAUAGUACCUUCUUUUCUUGCUCUUUUCUUUCCCCCGCGCACGGGUGCACCAUGCGAUGUGUUCAGGUGUCCCCGCACGUGCGCGUGUCAGUAUGUUGCUUUGAUUCUUGGAUGAAUGUGCAGCAAGCGUGUCAUGCGGGCACAGAGG
rnacentral:misc_RNA from 1 species